rnacentral:lncRNA from 1 species
ACAUCCGGGUGUGGGGUGGUGUGCGCAUGCGCGACAUCCGGGGAAUCCACGGGUGACAUCCGGGUACUGCGCGGACGCCGCAUGCGCAAACGUAAAGCACGAUCAGUACGCAUGCGCAACAUCCGGGAAUCAGAAAAGAACAUACGGGUAUUGAGGGCAGGGCGCAUGCGUAGUACCGGAUGCGAAUAAUACGCAUGCGUAACAUCCGGGGAUUCAGGGUUUCAUCCGGGUAUUAAGGGACGAGCGCAUGCGCAGCAGUGGAAAAAGAAUAGUACGCAUGCGCAACAUCCGGGUAAUGAAAGGGAAGAUUAGUGUAUUGAGGGUAAAGCGCAUGCGCAAAGGUCAAACGCGAAUAAUACGCAUGCGCAACAUCCGGGUAAUGCAAAGGAACAUCCGGGUGUUGAGGGCAUUGCGCAUGCGCGGUGGUUGAAAGGGAAUAGUGCGCAUGCGCGUUAUCCGGGUGCUAGAAAUAGACAUCCGGGUAUCUUAGUUGCGCAUGCGCGGUAUCACGGUUAACCACUGCGCAUGCGCAACAUCCGGGAACUCCGUGCCUCAACCAGGGACCGCCAACAUCACGUGUCCACCGCAACGGUCAACCGGGGCGCCAACAUCCGGGCACCGGGAUCACAAAAAGAAGGGGAAAGACGGGGGGUUGGAGGACUUCCGGAGGUGUUGGAGGACUCAGCGACACCCAUAGGAGGAGGCGGCAGCCGUUGGAGGACUCAACGACCCCCAUAGGAGGACUCAAAAGCCAUAGGAGGACCCAACAACUCCCAUAGAACAACUCAACACCCACAGGAGGACCCAACAACCCCCAUAGGAGGACUCAAAACCCGUUGGAGGACUCAACAACCCCCCGUAGGAGGACUCAAAACCCAUAGGAGGACUCAACGACCCCCGCUGGAGGACUCAACACCCAUAGAAGGAUCCAAUGACCCCCAUAGGAGGACUCAAAACCUGUUGGAGGACCCAAUGACCCCCGCUGGAGGACUCAACACCCAUAGGAGGAUCUAAUGACCCCCAUAGGAGGACUCAAAACCUGUUGGAGGACUCAACAACCCCCCGUAGGAGGACUCCAAACCCCUUGGAGGACCAACGACCCCCAUAGGAGAACUCAACACCCAUAGAAAGACUCCAAACCCCCUUGGAGGACCCACCGACGCCCAUAGGAGUACCCAACACCCACAGGACGACUCAAAACCCCUCGGAGGACCCAACAACCCCCAUAGAACAACUCAAAACCCACUGGAGGACCCAACAACCCCCAUAAGAGGACUCAACACCCAUAGGAGGACUCCAAACCCCCUUGGAGGACCCAACGACCCACAUAGGAGGACCCAACACCCACAGGACGACUCAAAACCCCUCGGAGGACCCAGCGACCCCCAUAGAACAACUCAACGCCCACAGGAGGACUCAAAACCCCUUGGAGGACCAACAACCCUCAUGGAACAACUCAACACCCACAGGACAACUCAACACUCAUAGGAGGACCCAACAACCCCCAUAGGAGGACUCCAAACCCCUUGGAGGACCCAACACCCAUAGGAGGACUCCAAACCCCCUUGGAGGAUCCAAGGACCUCCAUAGAACAACUCAACACCCACAGAAUGACUCAACACCCCCAGAAAGCCUCAAAGACCCCACAGGAGGACUCAACACCCAUAGGAGGACCCAACACCCAUAGAAAAACCCAACACCCAUAGGAGGACCCAACAACUCCCAUAGAACAACUCAA